GAUGAACGCUGGCGGCGUGCCUAAUACAUGCAAGUCGAGCGAACGGACGAGAAGCUUGCUUCUCUGAUGUUAGCGGCGGACGGGUGAGUAACACGUGGAUAACCUACCUAUAAGACUGGGAUAACUUCGGGAAACCGGAGCUAAUACCGGAUGAUAUUUUGAACCGCAUGGUUCAAAAGUGAAAGACGGUCUUGCUGUCACUUAUAGAUGGAUCCGCGCUGCAUUAGCUAGUUGGUAAGGUAACGGCUUCCAAGGCAACGAUGCAUAGCCGACCUGAGAGGGUGAUCGGCCACACUGGAACUGAGACACGGUCCAGACUCCUACGGGAGGCAGCAGUAGGGAAUCUUCCGCAAUGGGCGAAAGCCUGACGGAGCAACGCCGCGUGAGUGAUGAAGGUCUUCGGAUCGUAAAACUCUGUUAUUAGGGAAGAACAUAUGUGUAAGUAACUGUGCACAUCUUGACGGUACCUAAUCAGAAAGCCACGGCUAACUACGUG
rnacentral:rRNA from 1 species